CAUCUCUCUCCUAUACAGCAAAAUACCCCUCGAUAUAAAACGCCAUUUCGCAGAAUCUUCUCUGGCUGGUGCCAUCAACAACCCACUGCCGGGUGGGGGGACAGCGAGAGAAGCCGUCUCUCACCUCCCCCAGUGUGUGACACCUUUGAGAAAGCAGACCUUUUUGGUAGUAGUUGUUGUUAUUGCUUUAAGGAAUCACACAGCCACACAACUAGUUGGGUCCUUGGCAAGUUGAGUCAGAAAGAUCAAGUGAUUUCCACAAACCAAUCUGUGCCUCAGACCGAAGAACAGCAGCUGAAUUUGGAAGAACAAAAGGAGGAAUUUGGAAGAACAAAAAGUGAAACAGAAAACAGGCAAAAAAAGGGAAAAUAACCAAGAACCUUGAUCUGAAGACACCGAGAACGUCCCCAAGCAUUCCUAAAAACUCUCUGAAGUUGUGUAGAUUCAGGGAGCAACCGUUUUUAGAAGACACCACAAAGUAUCUUUGAAUGUUCUAGUCUUUCCACAGGACUUCUGCAGAUUCCUCGUCAUCUGUUGAGAAGAUUAAUACAAGCAAUUUAGAGAUCCUCUAGAUUUUCCUACUAGCUUCCUAGUAGUUCUCUAUACAUUGUUUAGUAUCUCUCCACAAGGUCCCUACAGGCUUCCAGUAAAUAUCUAGAUCUUUUAUAGAGACCUUCUGCUGUCCUACUAGUAGGCAUCUCCCUGCCAUACUGUAGUAGCCUUCCAAAGGAUUGUCAACUAGCUUGUCAGGAUUUCCAUGUCAGUGGUCUAGAAGCUCUCCAGACCCCCUGCUAUUCCUGUCACUCCACAGCCAGCUAGUUGUCAAUUCCUUCAUUUUCCAGUUGUGUCCUCCACCAUAUUUUUCUGAAUCGCUCUCAACAAUUUCUAUACGCGUUCUUCAAGUUCUCAACCAUUCUCCAGAAAUUCUGAAUGUAAUUUCUGCCACUUCUUUGGCAGCCUCCUUUUAAAAAAAAGACAAUCCAUUUAUAUUUUUUCCUGCCACAUAUCUGAAGAAAACAAACUAUUCCAGAAGCAAACCAGAAGAACUUCUGCCAGCAUUCCUCGCAGCAUUCCCAAGACCUUAGGAAAGAGCUCUUUAGGCAAUCUUCCUCGCCUGUCCACGCUCAAAACUCUUACUCAGAAGUUAGGUCCCCUGCUGUGAUUUCUCAAAAGCCAUCGCUAUUCCAGAUUCUGACUAAGAAGAAGCCAGCUGCAGUGGGCAAGUCCAUCUUCACCGCUCUUACUACCACUUGCAUCUGUUCGUGCUGGCUUCGUUUCUCACCGCCAAGCUGGAGUCCCUUA
ensembl:lncRNA